CUGGAGGGGUGAGAGGCCUAAUUGAUCAAACCCAGCUGGGUCUUGAUAAAGGAAGGAGCAUAGAGUAGUAGGGGAAGGGCAAGCUGGAGACCCAGGAGACAGGGGUGGAAUGAGAACAUGACCUGGCUGAGUCGUGAGAAGAGGUGGAACACAACAGGUGCUAAAGAUGGAGAUUCUGCUGUGCCAAGAGGGGGCAUGCCUGUGACCAACUUGCCCAUCACUUCCAUGGACUGGAAACAAAAUCCAAAGGAAGAAAAAUUAAAACUUUAGGCAGGACAAUGGGAGGUGUUUGGAUGUGAAUCUGGACUCAGUUUAGGUGUGUAGAUCCAGGGCUGGUUUUGUGUCUGGAUUAAUCGGUAUUGUAAUCUUGAAAGGUGUGUUUGUGGUAGGUUUUGUGUGUCCCCAAAGGGCAAAAAUGUCAUAAUCAACUAAUUAAAUAAGA